UACGUAGGGCGCGAGCGUUAAUCGGAAUUACUGGGCGUAAAGCGUGCGCAGGCGGUUCGUUGUGUCGGCGGUGAAAGCCCCGGGCUUAACCUGGGAAUGGCCGUUGAAACUGGCGAACUGGAGUGUGGCAGAGGGGGGUGGAAUUCCGCGUGUAGCAGUGAAAUGCGUAGAGAUGCGGAGGAACACCGAUGGCGAAGGCAGCCCCCUGGGCUAACACUGACGCUCAGGCACGAAAGCGUGGGGAGCAAACAGG
rnacentral:rRNA from 1 species